rnacentral:piRNA from 1 species
UUGGUUGCUCAUGCUUUUGGUGUUGCAUC